CGCAGAGGUGGGGGACAGAGUGGGUGGGGAGGGGAGCCGCCAUACAGUGGCCAGGACCAGCUUUGUCCAAGUAGUGGCAACCGCAUGACCACAGGAACGAUGGCGGGGCAGGCGAGUCUCCAGAGCCUGGAGGACAAGUUAGCCUUGUGAAGGAUAGCAGAGGACCCGGCCCAGGGGUCCCCAAAAUGGAGCACCAACCCUCCAUGCAGGCCAAGCCACUGGUGAAUAUGCUGCAAAAAAUAUGCUGGAACUUCUAUGCGUACCACAGGGUGUGAGAAGAAAACAUUAGAACUUCUAUUUUGUACGUGUAUUACUCUACAAGAAAGAAAUCAGCUUGAUCAAUGCCUACUGUAAAGAUGGCACCACCCUCCAGAGGCCCUCUCUCAGCCCUGAUACUGGGACAGCCGCGUCCCCUCGCAGCAAGGGGAGGCCUGAAUCAUAAAGAGGCCCACACAGGUCUAUUCUGUUUCAGCGAAUUGCCUGGGAAAUAAUCCAGGAUACAUUUCGUGUGGUCAUCUCGUCUCACCGGUCCCCUCCAGCCUUUCCUCAUCUUUUGUGACCUGGUCACUCUGGAAGGGCACUGGCCGGUGGCUGUCUCCUCCUCCCGGGUCUUCACCUCGUCAUUCCCCUUUGUGCGUCUGUGUCCAGAUCUCUUCUUACAAGAACACCAGUGAUAUUGGAUUAUGAGCCACUCGUUUUAACUUAAGUACCUCUUUAUUGACUCUGCAGGAGUCCCCCUGAUCUGCAAGGGUGAGCUCCAAGACCCCCAGUGGAUGUUGGAGACCGUGGAUAGUACUGAACUUUUCCCACACGUACAAACCUAUGAUAAAGUUUAAUUUAAGAAUUAG